UGGGCACUAAGCUUUACUGCCCACUUAGCCAUUCUUCCUGACAUCUCUGGUUUCCUGAGGACAUUCUUAAUUGGAAAGUUAGUUCUAACAACAAUAGUAUGGGUUUCAAAAUAAUGCCUUAACUUAGUUGAUGCCAUGAUUAAUGCAAGAAUAAGUUUUUCGAGGUGUGAGUACCUGGAUUCGGCAUCAAACUUUUACUUACAUAGUAGAUAGGAUAUUGUGUACCUUCGUGAUCCUUAACAAGGACAGCACUUACAGCGGUUGAGGAUACCGCCAGAUAUAAGGAUAACACAUCUCCUUUUUCCGGUUUUGCUAAUGCUGGUGCUGAGGACAUAUACUCUUUUAGGGCUUGUGAAGCAUUUUCAUGCUUCUCAGUCCAUUCGAACUUCUUAUUCUUCCUUAGGAUAUCGUAGAAUUCUUUGCACUUUUCUGAGGAUUUCGAUAUGAACCUGUUCAAAGCUGCUAUUCUGCCUGUUAGUCUUUGAACAUCCUUGGCAUUGGC
rnacentral:lncRNA from 1 species